GACAGAGGGUGCAAACGUUGUUCGGAAUUACUGGGCGUAAAGCGCGUGUAGGCGGUUUGGUAAGUCGGAUGUGAAAGCCCUGGGCUCAACCCAGGAAGUGCACUCGAUACUGCCAAGCUAGAGUAUCGGAGAGGUUGGUGGAAUUCCCGGUGUAGAGGUGAAAUUCGUAGAUAUCGAGAGGAACACCGGUGGCGAAGGCGGCCAACUGGACGAAUACUGACGCUGAGACUCGAAAGCGUGGGGAGCAAACAGG
rnacentral:rRNA from 1 species